GUCGGACGAGGCGUGAGUCUCCAUCUCCUCAACCGAGGCAAGAGAGAGAGACUCGGUUGGCAGGGAAAAAGGCGGCGGGGGGGGGGGGGGGGUAGUCAUUCGAGCAACAGUUGUGAGAGAGUCCCAUCCUGUAGAAAAUUUCACUCCUUUCAGUCAAUACAAAAUGUGAAACUCAACGCCGUAAAUCCAUACAGAUGACUAGAAACAAGAAAAUGCUGUCAGGAGGCCAGUUUCUAGUCAAGCUCGAUCGUAAGACACGUUUUUAAUUGGCUCUUAUCUAAUGUUGUGUAAGCCGCAGAUGGUGACUUUUUGGUUUGAAUGUAGAAUCGUCAACAUUCCCAAAGAUAGGAUCGUGAAUCAUUUCACCGUUUCAACUUUUCAAAUCAAACUACUAAAAUAAACUCAAUUUCUCCUCGCUUUUCUAAUUUAUUGCGAUGUGUGUGAAAUGGGAGUGUAGUAUAAUGUAAGAAGAAAUGGCAUCAAUUGAAUUUAUAUAAAGACAGCCAGCUAGCUAGCUAGCUAGCCAGCCAGCCAGCCAGCUAGCUAG